rnacentral:rRNA from 1 species
AUUGAACGCUGGCGGCAUGCUUUACACAUGCAAGUCGAACGGUAACAGGCCGCAAGGUGCUGACGAGUGGCGAACGGGUGAGUAAUGCAUCGGAACGUGCCCAGUCGUGGGGGAUAACGCAGCGAAAGCUGCGCUAAUACCGCAUACGAUCUAUGGAUGAAAGCGGGGGACCGUAAGGCCUCGCGCGAUUGGAGCGGCCGAUGUCAGAUUAGGUAGUUGGUGGGGUAAAGGCUCACCAAGCCAACGAUCUGUAGCUGGUCUGAGAGGACGACCAGCCAGACUGGGACUGAGACACGGCCCAGACUCCUACGGGAGGCAGCAGUGGGGAAUUUUGGACAAUGGGCGCAAGCCUGACUCAGCAAUGCCGCGUGCAGGAAGAAGGCCUUCGGGUUGUAAACUGCUUUUGUACGGAACGAAACGGUCCUGGUUAAUACCCGGGGCUAAUGACGGUACCGUAAGAAUAAGCACCGGCUAACUACGUGCCAGCAGCCGCCGUAACAC